CACGUACUCCCUCCGUCCGAAAAUACUUGUCAUCAAAAUGGACAAAAAAGGAUGUAUCUAAAACUAAAAUACAUCUAAAUACAUCCCCUUUUAUUCAUUUUGAUGACAAGUAUUUCCGGACGGAGGGAGUACAUG
rnacentral:pre_miRNA from 1 species